AACGAACGCUGGCGGCAGGCCUAACACAUGCAAGUCGAGCGCCCAGCAAUGGGAGCGGCAGACGGGUGAGUAACGCGUGGGAACCUUCCCAAUGGUACGGAAUAGCUCAGGGAAACUUGAGGUAAUACCGAAUAAGCCCGAAAGGGGAAGAUUUAUCGCCAUUGGAUGGGCCCGCGUAGGAUUAGCUAGUUGGUGAGGUAAUGGCUCACCAAGGCGACGAUCCUUAGCUGGUUUGAGAGAAUGACCAGCCACACUGGGACUGAGACACGGCCCAGACUCCUACGGGAGGCAGCAGUGGGGAAUCUUGGACAAUGGGCGCAAGCCUGAUCCAGCCAUGCCGCGUGAGUGACGAAGGUCUUCGGAUUGUAAAGCUCUUUUGCCAGGGACGAUAAUGACGGUACCU
rnacentral:rRNA from 1 species